CUCCGUUUUUAUAUUUUAAAACUAAAUUUUAAUUUCCAUUGUUUCAACGUUCGAGGAUUUUUCGAAACCUUAGCUCAGAGAAGAGAGAAAGAAAGGGAGAGAAGCCAUCGUGGUCUCUCUUCUAUGAGCUUCACUUCGAUUCCCGCCACUUCUCUGCAAGCAUAGGAUUUUGAGCUCUUGAAGCAUAUGGCUGAGGUGGUGAAAUCGGAGGAGUGUUGCCAGGAGAAUAAGCAGUCCACUGCUGCUUCCUGCUCCUCUGUAUCUGAAGGCAGUGGCAGUGCAAUUCACAAGUCUCCAGGGAUAUGUAGCCCUGCAUCCACAUCACCUUCCCAUCGGAGGACAACUGGUCCUAUCAGGCGUGCUAAGGGUGGUUGGACAGCACAGGAGGAUGAAACAUUAAGGAAUGCUGUGGCAGUUUUUAAGGGAAAAAGUUGGAAGAAAAUAGCUGAGUUUUUUCCUGAUAGAUCAGAAGUCCAGUGUUUGCAUAGAUGGCAAAAAGUUCUUAAUCCAGAACUUGUUAAAGGACCUUGGACACAAGAGGAGGAUGAUAAAAUUGUUGAAUUGGUGACAAAAUAUGGGCCAACAAAAUGGUCUUUGAUAGCCCAGUCUUUACCUGGUCGAAUAGGCAAACAAUGUCGAGAGCGGUGGCACAAUCAUCUUAACCCUGAGAUAAAGAAGGAUGCCUGGACUUUGGAGGAGGAAUUAGCCCUGAUGAAUGCUCAUCGCAUACAUGGGAACAAAUGGGCUGAAAUAGCUAAGGUCCUUCAUGGAAGGACUGAUAAUGCAAUAAAGAAUCAUUGGAAUAGUUCUUUAAAGAAAAAGUUAGAUUUUUAUUUAGCUACAGGAAGACUUCCACCAAUUCCCAAGAAUAGUCCACAAGUUACUGUUAAAGAUACAAUUAGACGUUCUGCUAGUAAAUCAAUACUUGUUUAUUCAAAUAAAGAAUUAAAUGCAGCUGUUGAAACAUCAUCUGAAACUACAGCCAUUAGCAAGCUAGAUGACAGUGGCAGGAAUCAAUUUGAGUCCUCGGUAACAGUUAGAGAAGUUGGUGAUUCUUCAAGUGUUCCUGCAAAUGAAUCUGCCGAUUCUGACUGUGUAGAAUGCAAGCCUGGAUCUUCCAACAUCGAUCUUAGCUGUAGCAACUCAGAACAAGUGUCAAAAGCUAAUUGGGCAAUAACUUAUGGGCCAAGACCUGACAAUUCUGGACUCAAUGGAAACUCAACUUUUGAGCAUUGUACAAACAAUGGUAACAUGAGCACUACGAGGUUAAUUGGAACAUCUUUGCAAGAAAGUCCAACCUGUGGUUCUCUGUGUUAUGAGCCACCACAGUUACAUGGUUCAGUUCCCAUAGAUUCUCUUUAUUUAAAUUAUAUCUGCCAGCAGAAUGAGUUUUGUUCGAGUCCAACUUUGUCACCUCUUGGUUUCUUCACCCCACCUCGUGUAAAGGGUGAUGAAUUAUGCACUGAGACACCUGAAUCAAUUUUGAAAAGGGCUGCCAAUACUUUUCCAAAUACUCCUUCCAUAUUGAGGAGGAGGAAAACUGGGUUCCAAGCACUCACUAGUCCCAGUAAAGUUUUGAAGGUAGAUAAUGAUACACGUUCUUCUAAUGAAACAGAGAGAACCAAUGAUGAUUCUGGUUCUAGGCAUUUCUCCAGGAGUCCGGCAAGCCAUGGCAAUGUGAUUGACAUUCCCAGUAAUAAGACAUUCAAUGCAUCUCCCCCAUAUAGGUUAAGAUCCAAGCGAACAGGGAUUGUUAAGUCAGUGGAGAAACAACUGGAGUUUGCUUUUGACAAAGAGAAGAAUGAUGACAAGAGAAGCAAUGUCAUGACGGAAGAUUGUCUCCAUGAAAAAAAAUUGGUUGCCACGUAGUGCUAAAAAAUUGUCAAUCUCUUGUUGAGGAGUUAAAGAUGUUCUUAGCUGACUCACAAGGAGAAAUCAAGCAGACGUUGGACAAGUUAUAUUUUGUUGUGAUCCUCUAUAUGUGCUACUUCUUGUGUCUUUGGUUGUGUUUUGUACAUGGCAUGUUUCCAAAUCUGAACAAAGUCUUUGAAAGAGGCAUUAAAUUGUGUUCCUAGAACAUUGUCGCCUCCAAAAAGGUACCAUUGUUAUUCUCUUGAAACAAAAAAUACCAUUUUUGCAAGUUUCACCUUUUUUAAAGAGACGUCUUUCUUCCCUAAUCAUUAAGAAGUUGACUCUGUACAACAUGUCUUACUAGUGGUUCAACCCUUGUUACUUGCUCCUCAUGACUGGUUCAGUCAACCCACCUGUCCCAGUUCGUGUCCUACUUUGGAAGCUAACUCACUAGAAUCAUUGUUGCAACCUAUCAUCACCGUUGGCCAAAAGUGACUCGUCCAAUAUUACAUGGGAUCAUGAUUGGACUUGGUGUUGAAACUGGCUGAUUGUUUUCUAAAUUGUUUGAAAUGCUUACCAAUUUUAUAAAGAAUUCAGUGCACAGGUCAGAAUGACAUGCACUUGUCCACACCUCAACAACAUAAUUCAGCAACAGUAGGGGUCUGGUAUGUGUAGAAUAAGAAUUGAAAAGUUCCAUUUACUUGUGGAUACAUAUAGCUAGUUGUAUUUAUCAUAUUUGUACAGUUGUCUUAGGAAAAAUAAAUUUUCUCAAGUGUCAUCAAUGUUCUUAGAUUCCUUCAAUCAUUUUUCUAAAUAAUUUCUGGCCCGAGCUACUAAUAAGUGUGUAAUCCUUACUUUAUCGCACCAGCUGGUUUGAUGUACACUUUACAUUGAAAUUACUCUGAUAAUCACUGAGGUGCUGCAUAUGGAAAUAGAACAUGCUCAACCUGAAAUGCAAUCUGGGUAUUUUAGAAAAAAAAAAAAAAACUAUUUUGUUGGCGUAGUUUGUCUGAUAAAAGAAAAAGAAAAAUAAAUGUUGCAGCAAACUACCAAGCUCCUGUACGAUAAGGACAAAAGGAAUUUUCAGUGGAGUGGCAAAAUGCUUAUAGAUAGGAAAGAACACCAACUCUAUUUGGCAGUAAAUGAGAUUAAAUACUUAUGUAGUUCUAGCACCGAAUGAUAGAGAUACUAGCCGAUAAUGUGUAUCUACCUAAGAAUGUUGUAAUUAGACCUUAAAUUGAUGUUUAGUAUGAGUUUAUUCUGAAUAA